rnacentral:lncRNA from 10 species
CGAGCCUCGUGCUCUUCUCGAAUUUUCUUCCUUCUCAAUUUUCAUCUCGUGAGUGUAGCAACAUGAAUUAUAGCUUGUCAAGCAAUACAUUUUCUCAGCGUUGAGAAGAUUCUGCUCCAUUUUUUCUGAUUAUGGAUUCUGUUCAGAAGGAAGCCGAAUUUUAAGUCAUCGUUCUAGGAUAGAUUCAGCUCCAUUUUCUCUGGUGGUAGAUCUCCAUGGAUGCUAUUGAGAAGGUACUUCUCAAAGUCCACGAGGACAAGGACAUCUUUCCACCGAAUGCCACCUGGUUUAUAACAAAAGCAUGAAAAACAAACAGGAAUUUCUCAAUGCAGAAAGGACUGAAGCUGUCAAAGGUGUGCUUUUUUUCUGCACAAACAAGUUUCCAUUGAAUGAUAGAAUAAAGAGAUACUGACUUCCCCGGAGCCUCCAAACUUGAGUAGUCAGCUGCACUUCAAGGGAAGUUAUUGAAUAUGUCCUAUCCAACUAAAACAAGGAAAUGAUGAAAAAAAUAAAAUCACUUUCCAGAGGCCUCAGGGCUAACUGGAGACAGAGCUCAGACUGCAACUGAGAAAAGUUGGACUCCAAAACCUGUACUCUGAGCUUUACUGCAUGAGAAAGUUAUUGAAAUGUGCCUUGUGACAUUCAGAAUAAGUGACUUUUCAGAGGUCUCAGAGUCAGUAAGAGACAGAACUCAGAUUGUAACCAAGAAGAGCUGAACUCCAAACUUCUGUGUCCGGAAUUGGUGGGUUCUUGGUCUCACUGACUUCAAGAAUGAAGCGGCAGACCCUCGCGG